GUUGGGCGAGGAUGAUUUGAGGAGACAUAUGUUGAAUUGAAUCAUUCGAGCAGCGGACGGGUGAGUAAAGCACAAGGACCUGUCCGAAAGAGAGGGACACCUGCGGGAAACCGGAGCUAAUACCUCAUAAGCCGGAAGGUGAAAAGCAGAGAUGCGCUUUUGGAGAGACUUGUGUCCUAUCAGGCAGUUGGUGAGGUGAAAGCUCACCAAACCGAAGACGGGUAGCCGGACUGAGAGGUCGACCGGCCACAUUGGAACUGAGAGACGGUCCAGACUCCUACGGGAGGCAGCAGUGGGGAAUAUUGGGCAAUGGGCGGAAGCCUGACCCAGCGACGCCGCGUGAGGGAAGACAGCCUUCGGGUUGUAAACCUCUGUUGCAGGGGAAGAAGGAAGUGACGGUACCCUGCGAGGAAGCUCCGGCUAACUACGUGCCAGCAGCCGCGGUAAUACGUAGGGAGCGAGCGUUGUCCGGAAUUACUGGGCGUAAAGGGCGCGUAGGCGGCGCUUCAAGUCGUCUGUCAAAUGGAAGGGCUUAACCCUUUUUCGCAGACGAAACUGGAGAGCUUGAGAAGCAGAGAGGCAAACAGAAUUCCUGGUGUAGCGGUGAAAUGCGUAGAUAUCAGGAAGAAUACCAGUGGCGAAGGCGGUUUGCUGGCUGCAUACUGACGCUGAAGCGCGAAAGCCAGGGGAGCGAACGGGAUUAGAUACCCCGGUAGUCCUGGCAGUAAACGAUGUAUGCUGGGUGUG
rnacentral:rRNA from 1 species